rnacentral:rRNA from 1 species
AUUGAACGCUGGCGGCAUGCUUUACACAUGCAAGUCGAACGGUAACAGGGUGCUUGCACCGCUGACGAGUGGCGAACGGGUGAGUAAUGCGUCGGAACGUGCCGAGUAGUGGGGGAUAACGCAGCGGAAGUUGUGCUAAUACCGCAUACGUACUGAGGUAGAAAGUGGGGGACCUUCGGGCCUCACGCUAUUCGAGCGGCCGACGUCUGAUUAGCUAGUAGGUGAGGUAAAGGCUCACCUAGGCGACGAUCAGUAGCGGGUCUGAGAGGAUGAUCCGCCACACUGGUAGUGAGAAGCGGCCCAGACUCCUACGGGAGGCAGCAGUGGGGAAUUUUGGACAAUGGGCGAAAGCCUGAUCCAGCCAUGCCGCGUGUCUGAAGAAGGCCUUCGGGUUGUAAAGGACUUUUGUCGGGGAGGAAAUCCCCAGCGCUAAUACCGCUGGGGGAUGACAGUACCUGAAGAAUAAGCACCGGCUAACUACGUGCCAGCAGCCGCCGUAACAC